CUUAUUUUGAAGUAUACUAUCUAGCAAUUGCCCUGUAUAAACUGCUGAAAAUUUCGUCGUCAAUGCGGCUUCCACCACUAUGCUUCCACUAUUGGCACAUUCGUGAUUUCGAAGAAAUUAAUAAAUACAUGCUCAUUUAUCAUUUAUUUAGACCACAGUUAGUAAAAUUUUAGACGUAUUCGGUAUUCCAAAUCCCAAUCUAUCUGACCGUAUUUUAGUAAUAGCUUCAAAUAUUCAGAACAUUGUUCUGAGUCGCGCAUAGACAAGUAUUACUGUACAUUGAUUCAAUGCCAAUGGUAGUAUUUUAUUCGGCUUUAUAUUUGUAUGUGUAUGUGUAUUGAUAUCUAUUUAAUAUUUGAAGAAUUCUAUAUUUUUCCGAGUGAUAUUUUGAGCGGCCCGCUAAUGCUUUGUAUUAUUGUUCACAUAUAAUUAUGUAUACAUUUUAAUAUUCAGUAUUUCUUCGUUGAACAAUGUACACGCCUUGCGUCAAUUUGACAGUUGAUAGUUUAUUUAUCGCAGUCGACGCUGAUUGGUUCGCGUUUAGCAGAUGCGAAAAGGGGAUGAUUGAAUAAAACGCAUGGUUCCGUGCAGGCUCACCUUUCACCCAGUGAGCCUGUUCGCAGGCUACAUUAGCCCCAGCGAG